AGAGUUUGAUCCUGGCUCAGGAUGAACGCUAGCGGCAGGCUUAACACAUGCAAGUCGAGGGGCAGCGGAGAGUAGCAAUACUCUGCCGGCGACCGGCGAAAGGGUGCGUAACGCGUGAGCAACUUGCCCGUAUCCGGGACAUAAGCGGUGGAAACGCCGUCUAAUUUCCCAUAACAACGAGGGCCGCAUGACCCAUGUUUGAAAGAUCCGUCGGAUACGGAUGGGCUCGCGAGACAUUAGCUAGUCGGCGUGGUAACGGCACACCGAGGCGACGAUGUCUAGGGGUUCUGAGAGGAAGGUCCCCCACACUGGAACUGAGACACGGUCCAGACUCCUACGGGAGGCAGCAGUGAGGAAUAUUGGUCAAUGGGCGCAAGCCUGAACCAGCCAUGCCGCGUGAAGGAAUAAGGCCCUAUGGGUCGUAAACUUCUUUUGUGGUGGAGCAAUAAGGUGCACGUGUGCAUCGAUGAGAGUACAUCACGAAUAAGCAUCGGCUAACUCCGUGCCAGCAGCCGCGGUAAUACGGAGGAUGCAAGCGUUAUCCGGAUUUAUUGGGUUUAAAGGGUGCGUAGGCUGUUCGACAAGUCAGGGGUGAAAGCCCGGCGCCUAACGCCGGAACUGCCUUUGAUACUGCCGA
rnacentral:rRNA from 1 species